UCUGGAGAGGAGAAACGGUGGUCAGGGGUUGGAAGUCAUCCUUGGCUACACAGUGAGUUGGAGCCCUGCAUGGGCUACAUGAGACCUGUCUAGGCCCUAGAAAAUAGUCAGGUCUGACAAAACCCCAUGCUUCAGGAGUCACCGAGAGGACAGGACCGUUGCUGUCCCACCCAGGACUGCUUGGGUUCUUGGAUUCUAGGGGAAUCGCAGAAAACAGCCCCCGCACGUAUCGUUUCCUCAGAUUUCCACGUAGGAGCCACUGGGGUGGGUUUUUUUUUCCUUUUUCCCUUUGAGACAAGGUUUGAACUCACAGCAAUCCUCCCGCCCCUGACUCCUAGGUUGGCUUAAGUCAUCAAGCUCGCCGGCCCUUCACCUUUGCUUCUGGUGACGCACUUGACAGAGUCUGAGAGGGUCGCUAACAGAGAUCGUCCCUGGGCCCUGGCUGCAGUCAGGGUCCCUUGGGAGGAUUUCACACCUGAUGGCCACGAGCGUGGAGCGCGUGCCCAUGGGGCUGGUGAGCGAGAUCUCCAGGUCCCCGCGGCGGCUGUAGGAGAGGGACAGCUGGACCUGCACGUGCUCGAGCGAGCGGAUGAGGCGGUGCGAGCCGUCGGAGCACGCGGACACGUUCUUCCUCACCAGCAUCCGAGGCAGGAUGGAGCUGGUAAGCCACACGCGAGCCAGGUCCACCAGCAGCCCUGCGUCCAGCAGCCCGUAGCCGUAGUGGUGGCUCACUGCGCGGGAGGGGUAGCCGUCACUCG